AGGGUGUUUGUGAAUUUCGCUAUAACACUAACAAAAGAAGAUCACUAACCAAAAUCUAUCACUUUUCCAUCUUUUUCUUGCUCAUGUGUGUGUGUUCUUCCCCCAAAACCCCCAAAAUCCGAAAUUUAUGAUGGGGGCCAAGGAAAUCAUCUAUAAUCAAUACUAAACCAAAUUUAUAUCAAAUCCCACUUAUCCUAUUGUGUUUUUGAGUUGUUGGAUGAAGUUUUUGGCCAAGAAUGGAAGAGAAACUAAAGAAAGCAUAAUGUAGUCUUGCAUGUAAUGAACGCUAGUGUUGUUUCAUAAAUUGAAGAUUGAAAGCUUGUAGUUUGCGUUCUUGUGGUCGUCAUGAUUUUGGUUGUCGCUAAGGAGGUUGUUCCGGUUGUGGAAACAAGAUUUUGUGCUUGAAGAUUUAUGAUGAUAUGAAUUGUGGAAAUGUUGAUUUUUACGGUAAAAAUUGGUUUAUGGUUAGAACCGUAGUGACUCAUUUGGACUAAUGGCUCUUGUUACAUAUAAAGUGUUUUUGGUAUAGUUUUGUUAUGUACAUCUCUACAAAAAGUUGGGUUAGAGUCAUGGUCUUUGGUAUCUUGAUGUAUUGCAAAACCCUAGUCGAUGUUAACUUGGGUAAUAUGACCCGUUUAGUUGUAAAAUGAACGUUUGAUCAAAUGAACACUUUUGUUAUGUUUACUA